GCCCGUAAAGCUCAGACGGCCGAGCAAUCGCUUCGUAAGCGAUAGGUCGCCGGUUCGACUCCGGCUACGGGCU
rnacentral:tRNA from 1 species